GGGUUUUCACCAGGAACUGAAUAUGCCAGCACUUUCGUCUUGGACUUUCUAGCCUCCGGAGCCAUGAGAAAUAAAUGUCUGUUGUUUCAGCAACUCAAUCCACAACACAGGCUUGCCUGGGAGACACAGCAGGCUCUGUCCUCGGCCAUCACAGUGCAGGGAGCAUCGCAAUGAGGGGAGUCACGCACAGGUUUUGGCUUCCCAAAUAUAUGAGAAGACUGAAGUUCAGAGAGAUGAAACAAUUGGCCCCAGGUCACAACUCUGAGAAGCAGCAAAGCCUGAGUUUGAACUUAGACUGUUUGGCUUUAACAUCUGUGUGCUCAACCUCUCUGCCACGUCUCUGCUCCAGAUGUCUCGAGGCCUCCUGACCACCAGCACCAUGUGGUCGAGUCCACAGGACAUUGGAAGCGACGGGAGUAAAGCUGUAAAAAGAAAUCGGAUUCCAGGGUGACGGAGGAUAUUUCUCUGGGAUGCGUUUCGC